UCCUUGAUAGCUCAGUUGGUAAAGAAUCUGCCUGCAAUGCAGGAGAACCUGGUUCGAUUCCUGGGUUGGGAA
rnacentral:tRNA from 1 species